CAGUCGCCACGGGAAUACGUAGGGUGCGAGCGUUAAUCGGAAUUACUGGGCGUAAAAGCGUGCGCAGGCGGUUGUGUAAGACAGGUGUGAAAUCCCCGGGCUUAACCUGGGAACUGCGCUUGUGACUGCACAGCUAGAGUAUGGCAGAGGGGGGUGGAAUUCCACGUGUAGCAGUGAAAUGCGUAGAGAUGUGGAGGAACACCGAUGGCGAAGGCAGCCCCCUGGGCCAAUACUGACGCUCAUGCACGAAAGCGUGGGGAGCAAACAGGAUUAGAUACCCCUGUAGUCCCUGUCUCUUAUU
rnacentral:rRNA from 1 species